rnacentral:rRNA from 1 species
UGGCGCACGGGUGCGUAACGCGUAACCAACCUGCCCUUGACUGGGGGAUAGCCCGCCGAAAGGCGGAUUAAUACCGCAUAAACUCACAGUGUGGCAUCACACAAUGAGUAAAGAUUUAUUGGUCAAGGAUGGGGUUGCGUGACAUUAGCUAGUUGGCGGGGUAACGGCCCACCAAGGCGACGAUGUCUAGGGGAGCUGAGAGGCUGAUCCCCCACACUGGCACUGAGAUACGGGCCAGACUCCUACGGGAGGCAGCAGUAGGGAAUAUUGGGCAAUGGGCGAGAGCCUGACCCAGCCAUGCCGCGUGCCGGAUGAAGGCCUUCUGGGUUGUAAACGGCUUUUCUCAGGGAAGAAAAAGACCAUGCGUGGUACACUGACGGUACCUGAGGAAUAAGCACCGGCUAACUCCGUGCCAGCAGCCGCGGUAAUACGGAGGGUGCAAGCGUUGUCCGGAUUUAUUGGGUUUAAAGGGUGCGUAGGUGGUUUGAUAAGUCCGGGGUGAAAGCCCACAGCUCAACUGUGGAACUGCCCUGGAUAC